rnacentral:rRNA from 1 species
GACGAACGCUGGCGGCGUGCUUAACACAUGCAAGUCGAACGGAAAGGCCCUGCUUUUGUGGGGUGCUCGAGUGGCGAACGGGUGAGUAACACGUGAGUAACCUGCCCUUGACUUUGGGAUAACUUCAGGAAACUGGGGCUAAUACCGGAUAGGAGCUCCUGCUGCAUGGUGGGGGUUGGAAAGUUUCGGCGGUUGGGGAUGGACUCGCGGCUUAUCAGCUUGUUGGUGGGGUAGUGGCUUACCAAGGCUUUGACGGGUAGCCGGCCUGAGAGGGUGACCGGCAACAUUGGGACUGAGAUACGGCCCAGACUCCUACGGGAGGCAGCAGUGGGGAAUAUUGCACAAUGGGCGGAAGCCUGAUGCAGCAACGCCGCGUGCGGGAUGACGGCCUUCGGGUUGGAAACCGCUUUCGCCUGUGACGAAGCGUGAGUGACGGUAAUGGGUAAAGAAGCGCCGGCUAACUACGUGC